AUGGCAGAGAGGUCACACCCGUUCCCAUACCGAACACGGAAGUUAAGCUCUCUAGCGCCGAUGGUAGUUGGGACCUUGUCCCUGUGAGAGUAGGACGUUGCCAGGC
rnacentral:rRNA from 1 species